rnacentral:rRNA from 1 species
GAUGAACGCUGGCGGCGUGCCUAAUACAUGCAAGUCGAGCGAACGGACGAGAAGCUUGCUUCUCUGAUGUUAGCGGCGGACGGGUGAGUAACACGUGGAUAACCUACCUAUAAGACUGGGAUAACUUCGGGAAACCGGAGCCAAUACCGGAUAAUAUUUUGAACCGCAUGGUUCAAAAGUGAAAGACGGUCUUGCUGUCACUUAUAGAUGGAUCCGCGCUGCAUUAGCUAGUUGGUAAGGUAACGGCUUACCAAGGCAACGAUGCAUAGCCGACCUGAGAGGGUGAUCGGCCACACUGGAACUGAGACACGGUCCAGACUCCUACGGGAGGCAGCAGUAGGGAAUCUUCCGCAAUGGGCGAAAGCCUGACGGAGCAACGCCGCGUGAGUGAUGAAGGUCUUCGGAUCGUAAAACUCUGUUAUUAGGGAAGAACAUAUGUGUAAGUAACUGUGCACAUCUUGACGGUACCUAAUCAGAAAGCCACGGCUAACUACGUGCCAGCAGCCGCGGUAAUACGUAGGUGGCAAGCGUUAUCCGGAAUUAUUGGGCGUAAAGCGCGCGUAGGCGGUUUUUUAAGUCUGAUGUGAAAGCCCACGGCUCAACCGUGGAGGGUCAUUGGAAACUGGAAAACUUGAGUGCAGAAGAGGAAAGUGGAAUUCCAUGUGUAGCGGUGAAAUGCGCAGAGAUAUGGAGGAACACCAGUGGCGAAGGCGACUUUCUGGUCUGUAACUGACGCUGAUGUGCGAAAGCGUGGGGAUCAAACAGGAUUAGAUACCCUGGUAGUCCACGCCGUAAACGAUGAGUGCUAAGUGUUAGGGGGUUUCCGCCCCUUAGUGCUGCAGCUAACGCAUUAAGCACUCCGCCUGGGGAGUACGACCGCAAGGUUGAAACUCAAAGGAAUUGACGGGGACCCGCACAAGCGGUGGAGCAUGUGGUUUAAUUCGAAGCAACGCGAAGAACCUUACCAAAUCUUGACAUCCUUUGACAACUCUAGAGAUAGAGCCUUCCCCUUCGGGGGACAAAGUGACAGGUGGUGCAUGGUUGUCGUCAGCUCGUGUCGUGAGAUGUUGGGUUAAGUCCCGCAACGAGCGCAACCCUUAAGCUUAGUUGCCAUCACUAAGUUGGGCACUCUAAGUUGACUGCCGGUGACAAACCGGAGGAAGGUGGGGAUGACGUCAAAUCAUCAUGCCCCUUAUGAUUUGGGCUACACACGUGCUACAAUGGACGAUACAAAGGGCAGCGAAACCGCGAGGUCAAGCAAAUCCCAUAAAGUUGUUCUCAGUUCGGAUUGUAGUCUGCAACUCGACUACAUGAAGCUGGAAUCGCUAGUAAUCGUAGAUCAGCAUGCUACGGUGAAUACGUUCCCGGGUCU